UCAAGAAACUUCCACAAUGGGCGAAAGCCUGAUGGAGCGACGUCGCGUGAUGGACGAAGUGCUUCGGCACGUAAACAUCUUUUAUGUGGGAUGAAAUUAUUGACAGUACCACAUGAAUAAGGGGCUCCUAACUCUGUGCCAGCAGGAGCGGUAAUACAGAUGCCCCAAGCGUUAUCCGGAAUCACUGGGCGUAAAGGGUGUCGAGGCGGUUGUAUUAGUCGUUCGUAAAAUCUACGAGCUUAACUUGUAGGCGGCGAACGAAACGGUACGACUUGAGGUUUGGAGAGGUGCGUGGAACUCACGGUGUAGGGGUGAAAUCCGUUGAUAUCGUGGGGAACACCAAAGGCGAAGGCAGCGCACUGGCCAAAAUCUGACGCUCACACACGAAAGCUAGGGUAGCGAAGAGGAUUAGAUACCCUAGUAGUCCCUGAGCGGGC
rnacentral:rRNA from 1 species